AUUGAACGCUGGCGGCAGGCCUAACACAUGCAAGUCGAGCGGAGCGGCGGAAGGGUGAGUAAUGCCUAGGAAUCUGCCUGGGAGUAGGGGACAACGUCCGGGAACGGGAGCUAUUACAGCAUACUUGCAGAUCAGCCUCGGGGGGAGGAGCUAGUGGGUGGGGUAAAGGCCUACCAAGGCGAAGAUGCGUAACUGGUCUGAGGGGAUGAUCAGUAAAACUGGAACUGAGACACGGUCCAGACUCCUACGGGAGGCAGCAGUAGGGAAUAUUGGACAAUGGGCGAAAGCCUGAUCCAGCCAUGCCGCGUGUGUGAAGAAGGUCUUCGGAUUGUAAAGCACUUUAAGUUGGGAGGCGUUACCAACAGAAUAAGCACCGGCUAACUUCGUGCCAGCAGCCGCGGUAAUAC
rnacentral:rRNA from 1 species